GGGGAAUAUUGCACAAUGGGGGAAACCCUGAUGCAGCGACGCCGCGUGAGUGAAGAAGUAUUUCGGUAUGUAAAGCUCUAUCAGCAGGGACGAAUAAGUGACGGUACCUGACUAAGAAGCCCCGGCUAACUACGUGCCAGCAGCCGCGGUAAUACGUAGGGGGCAAGCGUUAUCCGGAUUUACUGGGUGUAAAGGGAGCGUAGACGGUGAUGUAAGUCAGAUGUGAAAGCCCGGGGCUCAACCCCGGGACUGCAUUUGAAACUAUGUUGCUAGAGUGCAGGAGAGGUAAGUGGAAUUCCUAGUGUAGCGGUGAAAUGCGUAGAUAUUAGGAGGAACACCAGUGGCGAAGGCGGCUUACUGGACUGUAACUGACGUUGAGGCUCGAAAGCGUGGGGAGCAAAC
rnacentral:rRNA from 1 species